UACGUAGGGUCCGAGCGUUGUCCGGAAUUACUGGGCGUAAAGAGCUCGUAGGUGGUUUGUCGCGUUGUUCGUGAAAACUCACAGCUCAACUGUGGGCGUGCGGGCGAUACGGGCAGACUAGAGUACUGCAGGGGAGACUGGAAUUCCUGGUGUAGCGGUGGAAUGCGCAGAUAUCAGGAGGAACACCGGUGGCGAAGGCGGGUCUCUGGGCAGUAACUGACGCUGGGGAGCGGAAGCGUGGGGAGCGAACAGG
rnacentral:rRNA from 1 species